rnacentral:rRNA from 1 species
UUGUAGGACACUCCUUUGGAGUUACAAAGAAACCAUAUAGACGAAGCGGCUUGGAAUGGCCCGCCAUAGAAGGUAAGAGCCCUGUACUUGAAAUGUGGUUUCCUCCGGAGUGUAUCCUGAGUACGGCGGAACACGUGAAAUUCCGUCGGAAUCCGGGAGGACCAUCUCCCAAGGCUAAAUACUCCCUAGUGACCGAUAGUGAACCAGUACCGUGAGGGAAAGGUGAAAAGCACCCCGGAAGGGGAGUGAAAUAGAUCCUGAAACCGUGUGCCUACAAGUAGUCGAAGCCCGUUAAUGGGUGACGGCGUACCUUUUGUAGAAUGGACCGGCGAGUUACGAUCCCCUGCAAGGUUAAGUUGUAUAGACGGAGCCGCAGCGAAAGCGAGUCUGAAUAGGGCGAUAUAGUAGGUGGUCGUAGACCCGAAACCGUGUGAUCUACCCAUGUCCAGGGUGAAGGUCAGGUAACACUGACUGGAGGCCCGAACCCACGCACGUUGAAAAGUGCGGGGAUGAGGUGUGGGUAGGGGUGAAAUGCCAAUCGAACACGGAGAUAGCUGGUUCUCUCCGAAAUAGCUUUAGGGCUAGCCUCAAAGGAUGAUGGUUGGAGGUAGAGCACUGAUUGGACUAGGGG